GUGCGGUGAUGUCUGAAUUUCUUCACCUGAGAGCACUGUGGAGAGUGAAAUCGAGCUUUUUAACCCUGAGUCACA
ensembl:snoRNA SNORD36 Small nucleolar RNA SNORD36